CAGUAGCCGCGGUAAUACGAAGGGGGCUAGCGUUGUUCGGAAUUACUGGGCGUAAAGCGCACGUAGGCGGAUCGAUCAGUCAGGGGUGAAAUCCCAGGGCUCAACCCUGGAACUGCCUUUGAUACUGUCGAUCUGGAGUAUGGAAGAGGUGAGUGGAAUUCCGAGUGUAGAGGUGAAAUUCGUAGAUAUUCGGAGGAACACCAGUGGCGAAGGCGGCUCACUGGUCCAUUACUGACGCUGAGGUGCGAAAGCGUGGGGAGCAAACAGGAUUAGAGACCCCAGUAGUCCCUGUCUCUUAUAC
rnacentral:rRNA from 1 species